rnacentral:rRNA from 1 species
UACGAAGGGGGCUAGCGUUGUUCGGAUUUACUGGGCGUAAAGCGCACGUAGGCGGAUCUUUAAGUCAGAGGUGAAAUCCCAAGGCUCAACCUUGGAACUGCCUUUGAUACUGGGGAUCUUGAGUCCGGGAGAGGUGAGUGGAACUGCGAGUGUAGAGGUGAAAUUCGUAGAUAUUCGCAAGAACACCAGUGGCGAAGGCGGCUCACUGGCCCGGUACUGACGCUGAGGUACGAAAGCGUGGGGAGCAAACAGG